UACGUAGGGCGCAAGCGUUGUCCGGAAUUAUUGGGCGUAAAGAGCUCGUAGGCGGCCUGUUGCGUCCGCUGUGAAAUCCCGGGGCUCAACCCCGGGCCUGCAGUGGAUACGGGCUGGCUAGAGGCAGGCAGGGGAGAACGGAAUUCCUGGUGUAGCGGUGAAAUGCGCAGAUAUCAGGAGGAACACCGGUGGCGAAGGCGCCACUCUGGGCCGGUACUGACGCUCAGGCACGAAAGCAUGGGGAGCAAAAGGG
rnacentral:rRNA from 1 species